rnacentral:rRNA from 1 species
UGGGGAAUAUUGGACAAUGGGCGAAAGCCUGAUCCAGCCAUGCCGCGUGAGUGACGAAGGUCUUCGGAUUGUAAAGCUCUUUUGGCGGGACGAUAAUGACGGUACCCGCAGAAUAAGCCCCGGCUAACUUCGUGCCAGCAGCCGCGGUAAUACGAAGGGGGCUAGCGUUGUUCGGAAUUACUGGGCGUAAAGCGCACGUAGGCGGACUGAUAAGUCAGGGGUGAAAUCCCGGGGCUCAACCUCGGAACUGCCUUUGAUACUGUUAGUCUCGAGUCCGGAAGAGGUGAGUGGAAUUCCUAGUGUAGAGGUGAAAUUCGUAGAUAUUAGGAAGAACACCAGUGGCGAAGGCGGCUCACUGGUCCGGUACUGACGCUGAGGUGCGAAAGCGUGGGGAGCAAACAGGAUUAGAUACCCAGGUAGUCCCUGAGCGGGCUGGCAAGGCGCAU